UUUAUACGACCGCAAAAAAAUUUUUGUGGUUGUAUAUUGGUAUGACGUUGGCGUCGUCGUCGUCGUCGUCGUCGUCCGAAUACACAUUGGUUUUCGCACUCUAACUUUAGUUUAAGUGAAUGGACCUUUUUGAAAUUUUACCAUAAGGUUAAAUAACACAAAAGGAAGGUUGGGAUUGAUUUUGGGGGUUAUGGUACCAACAGUUAAGGAAUUAGGGGCCAAAAAGGGGCCAAAAAUAAGCAUUUUCUAGUUUCCAGACAAUAACUGUGGAACAGUGUAUGGAUCUCUCUGAAAUUAUACUACAAGUUUCCAUACCACAAAGGGAUGGUUAGGAUUUGCAUUGGGGGGUUAUGGCUCAAACCGUUUAGGAAUUAGGGGCAAAAAAGGGGGAAAAACAAGGUUGUCCUGGUUAAUGGACAAAUACUUUAGUACAAAACAUAAUUUAAAGGAGUGUAAGGGAGAUAAAUCAAAUACAUCAUUGAAAUUAUCUCCCUUACACUGCUUUUAAAUUAUGUAUAAAGUAAUGGUUAAUGAACAAUAAAGAUAAUUUAAAACAGUGUAAGGGAGGUCAUCCAAAUACAACGUUUUGGUUACUUCCCUUACACUGCUUUUAAAUUAUGUUUAAAGAAAUGCAUAUUUAUAAAGGAAGACCAGUAAAAAUAUCUGCAAAUGUUGCAUCAUUUUAUUUUACAAAAAAAUCUAUAUGAAAGAUUUGACACUAUAUUUUUAAUUCUAUUAUAAAAUAGAUUAAGUUAGCACUAUGGUAAAAUUAAAUGGGUAAUUAUGGUUGCCAACUCCAUUGGAAAUUUGAAUUGAGAUUAUGACCAUAUCUUGAGGGAAAGAAUUUUUUGGGGGAAAAAAGGGGGGGGGGGAUAAAAAGAAAUUGUGGGGGGUCAAUUUUUUCUCAUUUCAGAUUUCAGAAAUUAAAAAGAAUUAUUCUUCAAAUAUUUUUUUUUUUUCAAAUUUCAAAUAUUGAAAAAUUUCAAGAAGUAAUCUUUAAUUGCACAGUAUGGCGCAUUAGAUUUGUAAAAUCUUUGAUCACAUUUAUUUAUUUGUUAUGCCGAAUCUAACAGUGUAUUUAGAUUUUUAAUUUUGGGUCCAGUUUUCAAAAUAGUCUACAUUAAGGUCCAAAGGGUCCAAAAUUAAACUUUGUUUGAUUUUAGCAAAAAUUGAAUAUAUGAGGUUCUUUGAUAUGCUGAAUCUAAACAUGUAUUUAGAUUUUUGAUUUUUGGCCCAGUUUUCAAGUUGGUCCAAAUUGGGGUCCAAAAUUAAUCUUUGUUUGAUUUCAACAAAAAUUGAAUAUAUGGGGUUCUUUGAUAUGCUGAAUCUAACCAUGUAUUUAGAUUUUUUAUUUGUGGACCCCGUUAUCAAAUUGGUUCAUAUUGAGGUCAAAAGGGUCCAAAAUUAAACUUUGUUUGAUUUCAUCUAAAAUUGAAUUAUUGGGGCUCUUUGAUAUUCCAAAUCUAACCGUGUAUUUAGAUUUUUAAUUUUGGGUCCUGUUUUUUAAAUUGGUCUACAUUAAGGUCCAAAGGGUCCAAAAUUAAACUUAGUUUGAUUUUAACAAAAAUUGAAUUCUUGGGGUUCUUUGAUAUGCUGAAUCUAAACAUGUGUUUAGAUUUUUGAUUAUGGGCCCAGUUUUCAAGUUGGUCCAAGAUAGGGUCCAGUAUUUAAACUUUGUUUGAUUUCAACAAAAAUUGAAUAUAUGGGGUUCUUUGAUAUGCUGAAUCUAAACAUGUAUUUAGAUUUUUGAUUUUUGGCCCAGUUUUCAAGUUGGUCCAAAUUGGGGUCCAAAAUUAAACUUUGUUUGAUUUCAACAAAAAUUGAAUAUAUGGGGUUCUUUGAUAUGCUGAAUCUAACCAUGUAUUUAGAUUUUUUAUUUGUGGACCCCGUUAUCAAAUUGGUUCAUAUUGAGGUCAAAAGGGUCCAAAAUUAAACUUUGUUUGAUUUCAUCUAAAAUUGAAUUAUUGGGGCUCUUUGAUAUUCCAAAUCUAACCGUGUAUUUAGAUUUUUAAUUUUGGGUCCUGUUUUUUAAAUUGGUCUACAUUAAGGUCCAAAGGGUCCAAAAUUAAACUUAGUUUGAUUUUAACAAAAAUUGAAUUCUUGGGGUUCUUUGAUAUGCUGAAUCUAAACAUGUGUUUAGAUUUUUGAUUAUGGGCCCAGUUUUCAAGUUGGUCCAAGAUAGGGUCCAGUAUUUAAACUUUGUUUGAUUUCAACAAAAAUUGAAUAUAUGGGGUUCUUUGAUAUGCUGAAUCUAAACAUGUAUUUAGAUUUUUGAUUUUUGGCCCAGUUUUCAAGUUGGUCCAAAUUGGGGUCCAAAAUUAAACUUUGUUUGAUUUCAACAAAAAUUGAAUAUAUGGGGUUCUUUGAUAUGCUGAAUCUAACCAUGUAUUUAGAUUUUUUAUUUGUGGACCCUGUUAUCAAAUUGGUUCAUAUUGAGGUCAAAAGGGUCCAAAAUUAAACUUUGUUUGAUUUCAUCUAAAAUUGAAUUAUUGGGGCUCUUUGAUAUUCCAAAUCUAACCGUGUAUUUAGAUUUUUAAUUUUGGGUCCUGUUUUUUAAAUUGGUCUACAUUAAGGUCCAAAGGGUCCCAAAUUAAACUUAGUUUGAUUUUAGCAAAAAUUGAAUUCUUGGGGUUCUUUGAUAUGCUGAAUCUAAACAUGUGUUUAGAUUUUUGAUUAUGGGCCCAGUUUUCAAGUUUGUCCAAGUUGGGGUCCAAAAUUAAACUUUGUUUGAUUUUAACAAAAAUUGAAUAUAUGGGGUUCUUUGAUAUGCUGAAUCUAACCAUGUAUUUUGAUUUUGGACAUUGGACCAUAAUAGGUAAAUUAAAAAAAUUCAAGUUCUUAGACCACAUUCUUUCUGUGUCAGAAACCUAUGCUGUGUCAAAUAUUUAAUAACAAUCCAAAUUCAGAGCUGUAUCAAGCUUGAAUGUUGUGUCCAUACUUGCCCCAACUGUUCAGGGUUCGACCUCUGCGGUCGUAUCAAGCUGCGCCCCAGCGAAGCAUUUUAUUUAAAUUGGUCUACAUUAAGGUCCAAAGGGUCCAAAAUUAAACUUAGUUUGAUUUUAACAAAAAUUGAAUUCUUGGGGUUCUUUGAUAUGCUGAAUCUAAACAUGUGUUUAGAUUUUUGAUUAUGGGCCCAGUUUUCAAGUUGGUCCAAGAUAGGGUCCAGUAUUUAAACUUUGUUUGAUUUCAACAAAAAUUGAAUAUAUGGGGUUCUUUGAUAUGCUGAAUCUAAACAUGUAUUUAGAUUUUUGAUUUUUGGCCCAGUUUUCAAGUUGGUCCAAAUUGGGGUCCAAAAUUAAACUUUGUUUGAUUUCAACAAAAAUUGAAUAUAUGGGGUUCUUUGAUAUGCUGAAUCUAACCAUGUAUUUAGAUUUUUUAUUUGUGGACCCCGUUAUCAAAUUGGUUCAUAUUGAGGUCAAAAGGGUCCAAAAUUAAACUUUGUUUGAUUUCAUCUAAAAUUGAAUUAUUGGGGCUCUUUGAUAUUCCAAAUCUAACCGUGUAUUUAGAUUUUUAAUUUUGGGUCCUGUUUUUUAAAUUGGUCUACAUUAAGGUCCAAAGGGUCCAAAAUUAAACUUAGUUUGAUUUUAACAAAAAUUGAAUUCUUGGGGUUCUUUGAUAUGCUGAAUCUAAACAUGUGUUUAGAUUUUUGAUUAUGGGCCCAGUUUUCAAGUUGGUCCAAGAUAGGGUCCAGUAUUUAAACUUUGUUUGAUUUCAACAAAAAUUGAAUAUAUGGGGGUUCUUUGAUAUGCUGAAUCUAAACAUGUAUUUAGAUUUUUGAUUAUGGGCCCAGUUUUCAAGUUGGUCCAAAUUGGGGUCCAAAAUUAAACUUUGUUUGAUUUCAACAAAAAUUGAAUAUAUGAGGUUCUUUGAUAUGCUGAAUCUAACCAUGUAUUUAGAUUUUUUAUUUGUGGGCCCCGCUAUCAAAUUGGUUCAUAUUGAGGUCAAAAGGGUCCAAAAUUAAACUUUGUUUGAUUUCAUCAAAUAUUGAAUUAUUGGGGUUCUUUGAUAUGCCAAAUCUUACCGUGUUUUUAGAUGUUUAAUUUGGGUCCCGUUGUUUAAAUU